GACGAACGCUGGCGGCGUGCCUAAUACAUGCAAGUUGAGCGCUGAAGGUUGGUACUUGUACCGACUGGAUGAGCAGCGAACGGGUGAGUAACGCGUGGGGAAUCUGCCUUUGAGCGGGGGACAACAUUUGGAAACGAAUGCUAAUACCGCAUAAAAACUUUAAACACAAGUUUUAAGUUUGAAAGAUGCAAUUGCAUCACUCAAAGAUGAUCCCGCGUUGUAUUAGCUAGUUGGUGAGGUAAAGGCUCACCAAGGCGAUGAUACAUAGCCGACCUGAGAGGGUGAUCGGCCACAUUGGAACUGAAAAACGGCCCAAACUCCUACGGGAGGCAGCAGUAGGGAAUUUUCGGAAAUGGGCGAAAGUCUGACCGAGAAACGCCGGGGGGGUGAAGAAGGUUUUCGGAUCGUAAAACCCUGUUGGUAGGGAAGAACGGGGGUGGGGUGGGAAACCCCAACAAGGGCGGGAAACAAACAAGAAGGGGAGGCCAAACUAGGG
rnacentral:rRNA from 1 species